CACGUAGGGCGCAAGCGUUGUCCGGAAUUAUUGGGCGUAAAGAGCUCGUAGGCGGUCUGUUACGUCUGCUGUGAAAACCCGGGGCUUAACCCUGGGCUUGCAGUGGAUACGGGCAGACUAGAGGCAGGUAGGGGAGAAUGGAAUUCCCGGUGUAGCGGUGAAAUGCGCAGAUAUCGGGAGGAACACCGGUGGCGAAGGCGGCCUUCUGGACGGAUACUGACGCUGAGGCGCGAAAGCCAGGGGAGCAAACGGG
rnacentral:rRNA from 1 species